UGGCCGAUUACCAGGAGCUCUUUGAGGAUCUCAAAUCCCAAGUGAUGUUAUCCCUUCCCCACCUUCCUGAGUCGUAUUAUAUCUCCAUCUUUGCUAGUGGAUUGAAAGAGGAAAUCAGGUCAAUGGUGAAAAUUAUCAAACCAACCUCCAUUUCCCAAGCUUUUGAAAUAGCCAUCUUGUAGGAAAGUACCAUUCUAGCUCUCCACAAAAACACCAAAAACCCAACCAAACCCAAUUAUCAAUCCAAAAGGCCUAACCCCCCACCAGGGCCCUUCGAAGCCAGUACAAGAAUAUCUCCCACCAAUAACACUGAACAAAUCCAAAAGAGCCAAAACCUUCCAUUGAGAUUCAAAACCAUCACCCCCAC
rnacentral:lncRNA from 1 species